CAAACUAUAAUCUAGGAUUAGUUUUUAUUUACAUUAAAAACUCAUUUGUGCAAUUCAAAUUGGUUUGA
rnacentral:tRNA from 1 species